UGAGCUCAUUGCUUGUUUUUAUUAUUGGAUCUUUUGAAUAGUUAUUAUCUAUUUAAUAUAUAAACCCACACAUACAGAAUCCAAUUCACAAAUAUAUUCAAUUUUUUUUUACAUUAUAUACAUUGCACAUACUGUACCCCUAAAAUCGUCAAUAGCCUAUAUACGUAAUAAAACAGCAUCAACAGUGUACAUGGGGUGAGUAGUGAUGUAAAAUAACGUGAUUCUGCUGUGGGAGCAUUAUUUGAUAGAGGCAAUUGGUCUAUACACAUAUUGUACCCUUGACAUAUUCAAUAAAGACGUUAUAAACCAGCACCAAAUAUGCUCCCCCUUUUCUUAAAGUGUACAUAAGGUGAGUAUUGGUGUAAAAUAACGUGAAUCCGCAGUGGGAGAAUUAUUUGAUUGAGCCGACUGGCCUACAGAUCAAAUACGCUUGGUAGGGUAGCGAUCAAAAGAGUGGCGAAGUCACGCCCCUUCCGGUAAAGCCCAUGGGACCUAUGACAUCGAAAAAUAUGAAUGGGUUUCAAUGGAGAGAAAGUAAUUAUUUUCUGGUCCCAGUCUUUAUAUGCCCUGGAUUACACAUAUGUUGUUUAUGGAUUUAAAUGAUAAUUUUCAUGCAAAGAAAACUAAAAAUUUUCGCGAAAAAGUUUGAUAUUGUUAGGUUUUGUUGUGUGCAGCCGCUUUGUGAACUACAACUCCUCGCUGCUCUCGACGCGAAUGAUAUACGUCACCACCCGAACUUGGAACUAAUGUCGAUCUCUCUGCUCCACUUCACAGCUUUUUUCCAAGGGGAGGAUAAAAGCAUCGAAAGAGGUGAAAACCUUUAUAAGUUUAUAACUUUAUGAGUUUCAGGUAUGCUGAUGGGCAAGGGCGUAACCACGCAUUCUUUGGGGGGGGUCGUGCCCCCCCCAAUGUUGAGAAAAUACUAACCUGUCCCCCCCAAUAUACAGCAGGAUAAAAUGUAAAAUAUAUGUUCUCUUUUUAUGAACCCUGUCAAUGGAUCGGUCUCUUGUUAUGUCUUAUUUAUUUUCAAUUUAUUUCCGUUUCUGUUAAGUGUGUGAAUCCCCCCUCCUAAUUGUACACUUGUGCGAUUUAGUUUGAAACCACCUCGCGACUUUCCGCGUUGUCAUGGUUACCCCACACUCUUUCUUCAGUGAGAGCCAAGAAAGUAAAGUUGAGUAAUGGAGGAUUUGAGGUUACCUAAAAAGCAGAAGAAACUGGACCAACAGCCAAGCAUACGCAGUUUUUUUCAGACAGCAGCACAGAGAGAGAAGGAGAGAGACAGGCAUGCUGAAAGCAGUGGCCAGACAGGGACAUGCUCUGAACAUGCAGGUGAUCAGGUGAGUCAUUUGAAUGUAAGUAACGUUAUUUAACGUGUUGGAGAGGAGGUAACGGACAAUUUAAGGUUACUUAAAAAGCGGAUAAAACUGGACCAGCAGCCGAGCGUACACUAUUCCUUUAGAUGUGAAUUCAAAUGGUCAAUGUAGUCCUCGAAACUAUGUUCUAAAUGUCCACAUUUUCAUAUAUAAAUAUAGAAUUGUAGGCAAUGCACUUAACAAAUAAUAAUAAAAAAUUGGACCCCCCCAAUGUCUAAACCAUGGUUACGCCCUUGCUGAUGGGGAGAUUGUCGGUCUUGUCCACGCCAGUCGCAGGGAGCGUGACGGCACGAGACAUCUUUCACAUUGUGUUUUCUCUACAGCCUUUAACUGAACAUUUGCACAAUAAACGGUCAAACU